rfam:Prevotella sp. CAG:279 genomic scaffold, scf56
UCCAUCGAGAGGUGGAAUCUGAAAGAAGCCGGUGGCAAACAUCUUCCCAAGUCAAUGGC